rnacentral:rRNA from 1 species
GACGAACGCUGGCGGCGUGCCUAAUACAUGCAAGUAGAACGCUGAAGGAGGAGCUUGCUUCUCUGGAUGAGUUGCGAACGGGUGAGUAACGCGUAGGUAACCUGCCUGGUAGCGGGGGAUAACUAUUGGAAACGAUAGCUAAUACCGCAUAACAGUAGAUAUCGCAUGAUAGCUGCUUGAAAGGUGCAAUUGCACCACUACCAGAUGGACCCGCGUUGUAUUAGCUAGUUGGUGAGGUAACGGCUCACCAAGGCGACGAUACAUAGCCGACCUGAGAGGGUGAUCGGCCACACUGGGACUGAGACACGGCCCAGACUCCUACGGGAGGCAGCAGUAGGGAAUCUUCGGCAAUGGACGGAAGUCUGACCGAGCAACGCCGCGUGAGUGAAGAAGGUUUUCGGAUCGUAAAGCUCUGUUGUAAGAGAAGAACGAGUGUGAGAGUGGAAAGUUCACACUGUGACGGUAUCUUACCAGAAAGGGACGGCUAACUACGUGCCAGCAGCCGCGGUAAUACGUAGGUCCCGAGCGUUGUCCGGAUUUAUUGGGCGUAAAGCGAGCGCAGGCGGUUAGAUAAGUCUGAAGUUAAAGGCUGUGGCUUAACCAUAGUACGCUUUGGAAACUGUUUAACUUGAGUGCAAGAGGGGAGAGUGGAAUUCCAUGUGUAGCGGUGAAAUGCGUAGAUAUAUGGAGGAACACCGGUGGCGAAAGCGGCUCUCUGGCUUGUAACUGACGCUGAGGCUCGAAAGCGUGGGGAGCAAACAGG